UACGGAGGAUGCGAGCGUUAUCCGGAUUUAUUGGGUUUAAAGGGUGCGUAGGCGGGAUGCCAAGUCAGCGGUAAAAAUGCGGUGCUCAACGCCGUCGAGCCGUUGAAACUGGCGUUCUUGAGUGGGCGAGAAGUAUGCGGAAUGCGUGAUGUAGCGGUGAAAUGCAUAGAUAUCACGCAGAACUCCGAUUGCGAAGGCAGCAUACCGGCGCCCUACUGACGCUGAGGCACGAAAGCGUGGGUAUCGAACAGG
rnacentral:rRNA from 1 species